rnacentral:rRNA from 1 species
AGAGUUUGAUCAUGGCUCAGGAUGAACGCUAGCUACAGGCUUAACACAUGCAAGUCGAGGGGAAACGACAUCGAAAGCUUGCUUUUGAUGGGCGUCGACCGGCGCACGGGUGAGUAACGCGUAUCCAACCUGCCCACCACUUGGGGAUAACCUUGCGAAAGUAAGACUAAUACCCAAUGACGUCUCUAGAAGACAUCUGAAAGAGAUUAAAGAUUUAUCGGUGAUGGAUGGGGAUGCGUCUGAUUAGCUUGGUUGGCGGGGUAACGGCCCGCCAAGGCUACGAUCAGGUGGGGUUCUGGAGGAGGAACGGUCCCCCACAUUGGAACUGAGACACGGUCCAAACUCCGUACGGGAGGCA